rnacentral:lncRNA from 1 species
GUGAAGAUAUGCUUCCACCAACAAGACGUGGAGAGAGUGAUAUUCCCUCGGCUUUCACAGGCCUGCAGCCUCUGUCUCACUCUCUUGGAAGGCUGCCCUGAGAGCGCCACGGAGAGCACUAGGCCCACCUGCGGGAGGGUGAGAGGCCGCAUGAAGGGAACCUGAGGCACCCAGCCAGGACCUAGCACCCACAGCCAGGCAUGCUGGUGAGGCCCACUCAGUCCUUCCCAGCCAAUAGUCCAGCUCGAUGCAGCUGCAGGAGCGAGCCCAGGUGAGAGCAGCUGAGGAACCACCCACCCGCCGACCCACAGAAGUGCAAACAGCCAUAAACUGUGUUUAAGUCACUGAGUUUUGGGGUCAUUUGUGGUGCAGCAAAUGCAACGGAACCAGGCUGCUUUACUAAAGUCGCGAUGUCUUGAGGCCUUCCAGACCUUGCUCCACCUCCACCACCAGGUCUCCAGUCCUGAGCCACAUGCUGCCAUUUUUGUCUCAGAAGCACCCCUCUUCCAGGUGGAAGAUUGAAGGUCUGAAGAGUGGGAAGUCCCAGGAACAGGCAAUUCCAGGAAGAUAUGAGGAAAAUCAAGAAAGAGAAGGAAACUGAAGCUAGUGGGAAGUGCUUCAAGUUGGAGAUGAUGCUGAGAUGGCCAAAAAGUGAGAGGUGGAAAACAUUUGGAGUGAGUUAAGGAGAGAACGCGAGGCAAGGAAGUGAAGCUGAGUGAGUUGGGGAGUGGGGUGCAGGGGCCUUUGGCCACCCCAGGCUCUUUCUAUGUGAACAUUCUGAGACUGAUUCUGAUUUUUUUCCCCUCCCAAAUUGCUCUCUUUUCCUUUCUUCACCUACUUACUCCCUGGUCAUCCUUCCUUUGGGUCAGUGAAGUUGCUGAUUCUUUAGGGAACACUUCUCUGAUUGCUGAAGCUAAUAGUCUCUCCCUGCGGUUGCCGGUUGUUUCCAAUAGUUGACUAGUUUUCUUCCCCAGCACUUACGAGUACACAGCCAGUCACUCUGGUUGCUCACUGUCUUCCUUCUUCCUUGACUGUCAGCUCACAGGAAUGCAGGGCCCUUACUUGUUUUACUCACCACUGCAUCCCAAGGAUAUAGCAGAGUGCCUGGCACACGGUAGGUGCUGAAUAAAUAUUCGUUAAAUGAUUGAUUGGAGGAAAAAACCACCAUCCUCCAUGGUAAACCUUUACUUUACUUUUGCAUACUUCUAAAAGUAUAAUCUAGAGGUUCAGUGACUCCCGCAAAUAAACAGAAAAGGGCACAGAGGGUGGCGAUAGGGCCACUGAUAACAGGAGCUGGAAGUAGAAGACAUCUUUUUUCCGAAGUUGAAGACUUGUACUUCCAUAACCUUGGCAGAUUAGGAAAUGUCAAUUACCCUCCAAUCCAACCUCCUAUAUAGAGCCACACACUGGUUUCCUAGCCUUUUAUGUAUUGAAAAGAUGUUAUCCUAUAAAUUUUCUUCUUUUCCAAUGUGUUCUAUAAAUAUCCACUAAAAUACUUUAAUUGCAAGAAAGUUAGAUAUUUGAGGUUAUAUCCAUGUUUCAUUUCUGUGGAAAACAACACAGAAAAUGUUACCCAAGUAUAACUGGGCACCAUGGCUCCAAUAUUUUCUCAUUAUCAGCUCAAAUAAACACAACUUAGAAUAAAAAAGUCAUGUAAAGCAAUUCAAAUAUUUCACUUCAUCUGUCAAGGAAAUAUCAGGAGGGUGGUUGGGAGUACAUUCUUGAUGCACAGCAGGAAUCUUUUACACUUCUUUCUCCCCAUUUCUGCCCCUCUCGGUAUCCUCCACAGGGAGAGCAGCUGCUCCCUGAAACUCUCACUCUCUCUGCAUUUUUCCUUUCCAGUGCCUCAAAACUGCACACCACCUGGUACUUGGCAGUGCAGCACUUUGCUCAGGGGGAUGGGUCUCCAUCUCUCUGCCGUCCUGUUUUUCUUUUUUCCCGUCAAUUAUUCUUUGCCUUUUCCAUAGAUCAAGAAGAAGGUGAUGUGUACUCAUGUACAUUAAAAACUCCUGUCUCCAUUGCCUAUGAACAGCAGCAUCAAACCACUAUGCAGAAUUAGCAUGAAUUUAUAGCUAGAAUAGGAAAGUUCAAACUUGGAAACAACCAUCGUAGUUUACCAGUUGGGUUUUGAAGUUUUUUCUCUCAGAUCUGUUGCUUACUAGCAAUGUGAACUAGGUAGCAAAUUACCCUCUCUUGAAAUGUUAGCAGAUUCACUUGUGAAAUGAAGUUAGUGAUGAAGGCCAAGGUAGGGAUAGCCAUGCAGUUCUGUUUCUCCUUAUCUCAUCAUCUCACUUUCCCAGGGAGAUCUUUAAUCUUGGAAAUUAGCACUCUCUGGUCACGUGGUGAAAGUGGGUUGGAAGAAAGAUGCAUGCAAGGAGCAGUGCUUCUACCCCACCCAGUUAUCAUGAGCUUUGAGUGAGAGGGUUCAUGUAGAGUGUUUAGGAUGGUUUUUGACUCACAGUGAGAGCCCAUAAACGUGAGCUGUCUGUCUCCUCUGUCCCUCGUCCUUUUUACACCCCCUCACCCACUGCAUUUUCUUCUCCUCUGUCAUUGCAGAGGCAGUCAAGCGUAUUAGUUCACCCAUUCUUCCAUCAACUUUGAACUAGGGCUUAUAAUAUUCAUUUUGCAGUUGAAGACAUGGAGGAAGAAAGGAAAACGAGGAAAAGAGACAAAGAGACAAGAGGAAUGAAGUGCUCCUGUGAUCAGUUUUCCUCAUUUCAUUUUUUUCUUUGAGUUGAGAGGGUCAGCUCACUUUCUGCCUCCACUUUCCUUGAAAAUUCCAAUGAACAACCCUCUUCUAUAUUUUCAGGCUCAGAGUAUGCACCAAGUUAGAUGAGUCUUGAUCCUGAAGGAUUAACAUGAAACAAGCUGGCAAAUAGAAUAUAGAUUAAUGGGGUCCAACCAUACCAUUGAAUAUGAUUAAUGGAAUUGGGGAAUUUGGUUGAUGGAAUGAGAUCUCCCAAACCUUCUUACAUGUGGGAGAUGACUAAGUGAAUUAGUUUCCUAGGACUGCCAUGACUAAAUACUGUAAACUGGGUGGCUUAAACAACAGUACUUUAUUUUUCAGUUUUGGAUGCAGACAGCCCAAGACCAAGAUGCUGGAAGAAUCGGUUUCCUUUGCGGAUGCUCUCCUAGGUCUUUUUUUUUUUGGAAUCUUGCUAUUCGCCUGCCUCAGGCUCCCGAAUAGCUAGGAUUACAGGCACCUGCCAUCAUGCCUGGCUAAUUUUUGUAUUUUUGUAGAGACGGGGUUUCAUCAUGUUGGCCAUGCUGGUCUUGAACUCCUGAUCUCAGGUGAUUCGCCCACCUCGGCUUCCCAGAGUGUUGAGAUAACAGGCGUGAACCACCACGCCUGGCCUCUCCUAGGUUUUUAAAUGACUGCAUUCUUCCUGCCUCUUCACACAGUCACCCUUCUGUGCACAAGGAUCUGCUGUCUCUCUGUCUGUGUCCUAACCUCCUCUUCCUAUAAGGAUUCCAGUUGGAUUGGACUAGGGACCUCACGUAGGACCUCAUUUUAACAUAAUUACCUCUUUAAUACCCUGUCUCCAAAUACGCUCACCUUCUGAGGUACUGGGGGUUAGGGCCUCAAAAUAUGAAUUUGCGGGAAG